UCUAGCAGGAAGAUUAUCGCCUGCAAUUUUUUUCUUAUUCGAAUUUAUCGAAUGGGCUUUAAAUAUCUUCACUGGCCCAUAUUCUGUAGUGGGCUUAAAUUGAAUACUGAGCGGCGGCAAACUUUAUUUUAGUAUUAUGAAUUUAGCAAUUUUUAAAAUUUUGAGUGUUUCGAUGUCUUCGUCGGCGGUGAGGUCAUGGAGAACGGCGUUUCUGACCCUGAGGGAUGAAAACUCGGCUUCGCCGCCUUGCGCCACCAUCGUCCGCCUCCUUGACAAACUAAUUUUGUCCCCAUCCGACUCUCUCGUUGCUGCUGCGCCGCAGUUGCCACCUCACGAGCUAACAUCCGACUUGAUUCUGUUAUUGGAGUUGGCUCGCGACCUCUCUUAUUAUCAACAAGGAAUUGAAGAUGUUACUCAGACCUUCGUUAAAUUAUCUGCAUUGAUCCAUGCAAUCAGUCAUUCCUCUUCUCUGGAAAUGAAUUCAAUUAUGUGGGGCCUUGUGCUUGACUCUUUCAAGAGGAUAGUGCAGGUUUUCUUUGGCAAUGUCGAAACAAAGAGAGCAAUCAUCAGAAAUGUUGCUCUAAUCAAACCCACCAAGAAUUGCUUAGAAAGUUUAAGGUUACUUUUUAGUUUAUAUCAGACAGCUGCUUCACCAUCUGAAAAUGGGCAACUGCUGAAUUUUGUUCUUGAAGUGGUUGCGUGUUUUCAAGGGGACUCAAAGCAUUCUACAUAUUUUAGUGACAAUUAUUCAGUAUCUAGAGGAGUGUGUGAAGUCCUUACAAUUGCAUUUGCCAUGAUUGGUGAAGCAUACUCAAGAGUAGGUGCUUCUUUGCCAGUUGAAAUCUGGAAGUCAACGAUUGUGGUCCUUAGAAAAGUUAUGGACAUCUUGGCUUCUAAGGGUCUUUUGAUGGAGGAUUAUACCGUUGCCACGUUUUAUGUUGAGCUUCUCCAAUGUUUGCACUUAGUUCUUGCAGAGCCUAGAGGAUAUCUUGCAGAACAUGUGGCUGGAUUUGUAGCAUCAUUGAGAAUCUUUUUCCGCUAUGGGCUUGUAAACAAGCCAUCGGUUAUGAAUCAACCAACUAAUCACUUGAAGGGAGUAGGAUCGACAAGCCAAAACAUGCCAUUUGAAGUAUCAAAUCAACCAAAAAGUGGCCCAUAUAGGCCUCCACACUUACGAAAAAAGGUUGCAGCAAAUCAACAGCGUAAACAUGAGGAAAGUCUAGUUUCUUCUGGACAUGAAUUUAUUUCAUCAGAUUCAGAUUGCAGUGAUAAUGAUGGAUCAGUGAUGGAUAACAGCAAAGCAUAUUUAGCUAAGGCGAGAUUAGCUGCAAUUAUUUGUGUUCAGGAUCUCUGCCGAGCUGAUCCCAAAUUGUUUACAGCUCAGUGGACAAUGCUUUUGCCAUCCAAUGAUGUGCUACAACACAGGAAUUACGACACUACUCUGAUGAGUUGCUUUCUUUCCGACCCUUCAUUAAAGGUCCGGAUUGAAGCUGCUUCUACUAUUAUGGCAAUGUUGGAUGGGCCUGCUUCUGUUCCCCUACAGGUAGCAGAAUUUAAGGAGCACUCAAAACAUGGGUCGUUUACCACACUUUCUAGUUCUCUUGGGCAUAUCUUGAUGCAACUUCAUUCAGGUACAUUAUAUUUAAUCAAACACGAAACAAGCAAUAGAGUGCUGGCAUUGUCAUUUAAAAUCCUAAUGCUUUUGAUAGCAUCUACUCCAUAUUCAAGAAUGCCGCCUGAGCUGCUCUCUAGGAUUAUCUCUUCACUGCAGUCAACAAUUGAAAAGGGGUUUCCAUAUCAUAAUGAUCGGAAUAGUUUGCUGGCUGCAUCAAUUGUUUGCUUAACCAGAGCUCUUUCUGUGCCUGCCUCGAUGUGUGUCAACAAUAUGCUGCUGGGAGAAAUUUCAUCAGGAUGUCUUGAAGGUCAGAGUUCUGGAGUACUGUUUACCUUGUUUCAAUAUUCUGAACGAUUGUCAACCCCUUCAAUAAGCUUAGAAGCACUUCAGGCUCUUAAAUCUUUGUCCCAUAAUUAUCCAAAUGUAAUGACCUUAUGCUGGGAACAAAUUUCCUCUAUCAUUUAUGGAGUAUUAAGCACAUUCCCUGAUGAGUCUUCAAGACUAUGGAGAGGUAAUGUUGAGCAGACUGCUGCAUCAUUAAAGGAGAGAGUCACGACUGCUGCUGUCAAGGUUUUGGAUGAAAGUCUUCGGGCUAUUUCUGGCUUUAAAGGAACUGAAGAUCUUUCAACUGAUAAAUCUCUUGAUAGUCCGUUUACAUCUGACUUUGUGAAAACAAAGGCAAUCUCAUCAGCGCCAUCAUACAGUUUAGAGACCCCGGUUUCAACUGUUGAUGAUUCUCAAACAUGCAUCUUAGCAAGUGAGAGGUGGUUGGAAGCAACAAUCAAGCAUAUGCCUCUUAUUAUUAAUCAUUCUUCUGCGAUGGUAAGAGCUGCAUCGGUGACCUGUUUUGCUGGAAUGACUUCUCCUGUUUUCAUUUCCCUUCCAGAGGACAAACAGGAAUACUUAACUGUAUCUUCAAUUAAUGCUGCUCUAUAUGAUGAGGUUCCUUCAGUUAGGUCUGCUGCUUGCCGAGCCAUUGGUGUUAUUGGAUGUUUCCCACAAAUAUAUCAUAGUGCGGAAGUUCUGGAAAAGUUUAUCCUAGCUGCAGAGUGCAAUGCUCAUGAUUCACUGGUUUCUGUUCGUAUUACAGCUUCAUGGGCAUUAGCAAACAUAUGUGAUUCUCUUAGUCAUUGCUUGGAUGCACUAUAUGCUGGAAGAAGUUCAAUUGGAUCUACAAAAUGUUUUGAAUACACAUCACUGCUAGUAGACAGUGCGUUGCGGCUGGCCAGGGACAAUGACAAGGUCAAAGCAAAUGCUGUUAGGGGUUUAGGAAAUCUUGCAAGAUCUAUCCAAUUUAUAAAACAAUUACCUAUUAAUGGUGAUCCACUGUAUUCCAUGCCUUCUAAAAUUGAAUACCACGGUGGAAAAGGAUUCAAGGAUCAUGUGGAAAAAAGGUCACAAUCAGUUCGAAGUUCCCCUGGGAGUUUCGAUUGGCUUGAUCAGAUGGUGCAGGCUUUUCUUUCUUGUGUCACAACUGGAAACGUUAAGGUUCAAUGGAACGUGUGUCAUGCAUUGAGCAAUUUAUUUCUGAACAAGUCUUUAAAGCUGCAAGACAUGGAUUGGACCUCAUCUGUAUUUAGUAUCCUUCUGUUGCUACUUCGGGAUUCUUCAAAUUUUAAGAUAAGGAUACAAGCUGCUGCUGCCUUGGCUGCUCCAGAAACUAUAAAUGAUUAUGGAAAAUCAUAUUAUGAUGUUGUUAAAAGUGUGGAGCAUAUUGUUGAGAACUUUAAAUCAGAUCAGAUUGCAGAACCUUCUAACUUCAAAUACCGGAUUGCCCUGGAAAAGCAGUUGACAUCAACUAUGCUGCAUCUUCUGGCUCUUGCUUCCAGAUGUGAUCAACGGGCUAUACAAGAUUUACUUGUGAAAAAAGCAUCAUUCCUUGAGGUUUGGAUUCAGAACCUGUGCUCAUCUGUUGGGGAUACAAGUAAUUCACUUGACGAGGCAAAGCAUGCGUCUGUGGACCAAAAGAGGGAUGUUAUAUACAGAACAAUUCAGUCACUGGUUCAAGUGUAUGAGAGCAGUAAUCACCAUCUCCUUGCUCAAAGGUUUGAAAAAAUUGGCCUGUAACUUGUUCUAAAUGAGAGUUUUAGUAACAAGUAAUGCAGCAGGCUUUUUAAAAACUUGAGAUGGAGGAAAGGGAGUUGUUUAUAGUUGAAUGCAUGAACUGAAAUCUAUAGCCAGCUAGAAUGAAGAUCAGCAUGCGAAGAUAAAAGCUUUUCAUAAUCAUCCAUGUCGUUACUACAAGCUGGAAGAACUUGUGUUCUUGUGCAGUUUACAUGGAAGGGGGAGUCUC